AUGGAGCACGCCGCGUGAGUGAAGAAGCUUUCGGUCGUAAACUCUGUUGUUGAGAGAUGGUCGGCAGAGUAACUGUGUCGGCGUGACGGUAUCCAACCAGAAAGCCACGCUAACUACGUGCCAGCAGCCGCGGUAAUACGUAGGUGGCAGCGUUAUCCGGAUUUAUUGGGCGUAAAGCGAGCGCAGGCGGUUUUUUAAGUCUGAUGUGAAAGCCCUCGGCUUAACCGAGGAAGCGCAUCGGAAACUGGGAAACUUGAGUGCAGAAGAGGACAGUGGAACUCCAUGUGUAGCGGUGAAAUGCGUAGAUAUAUGGAAGAACACCAGUGGCGAAGGCGGCUGUCUGGUCUGUAACUGACGCUGAGGCUCGAAAGCAUGGGUAGCGAACAGGAUUAGAUACCCUGGUAGUCCAUGCCGUAAACGAUGAAUGCUAGGUGUUGGAGGGUUUCCGCCCUUCAGUGCCGCAGCUAACGCAUUAAGCAUUCCGCCUGGGGAGUACGACCGCAAGGUUGAAACUCAAAGGAAUUGACGGGGGCCCGCACAAGCGGUGGAGCAUGUGGUUUAAUUCGAAGCAACGCGAAGAACCUUACCAGGUCUUGACAUCUUUUGAUCACCUGAGAGAUCAGGUUUCCCCUUCGGGGGCAAAAUGACAGGUGGUGCAUGGUUGUCGUCAGCUCGUGUCGUGAGAUGUUGGGUUAAGUCCCGCAACGAGCGCAACCCUUAUGACUAGUUGCCAGCAUUUAGUUGGGCACUCUAGUAAGACUGCCGGUGACAAACCGGAGGAAGGUGGGGAUGACGUCAAAUCAUCAUGCCCCUUAUGACCUGGGCUACACACGUGCUACAAUGGAUGGUACAACGAGUUGCGAGACCGCGAGGUCAAGCUAAUCUCUUAAAGCCAUUCUCAGUUCGGACUGUAGGCUGCAACUCGCCUACACGAAGUCGGAAUCGCUAGUAAUCGCGGAUCAGCACGCCGCGGUGAAUACGUUCCCGGGCCUUGUACACACCGCCCGUCACACCAUGAGAGUUUGUAACACCCGAAGCCGGUGGCGUAACCCUUUUAGGGAGCGAGCCGUCUAAGGUGGGACAAAUGAUUAGGGUGAAGUCGUAACAAGUGCCGUGACCA
rnacentral:rRNA from 2 species